rnacentral:rRNA from 1 species
UAACACAUAGCAUUAAUGCACCAGAUCCCAAUAGAACUCUGUAGUUAAGUGUGCUCAGGCUAGAGUAGUAUUGGGAUGGGUGACCACCCAAGAAGUCCAAGUGUUUUAC